CCUACGGGCGGCAGCAGUGAGGAAUAUUGGACAAUGGACGCAAGUCUGAACCAGCCAUGCCGCGUGCAGGAAGACGGCUCUAUGAGUUGUAAACUGCUUUUGUACGAGGGUAAACGCAGAUACGCGUAUCUGUCUGAAAUUAUCGUACGAAUAAGGAUCGGCUAACUCCGUGCCAGCAGCCGCGGUAAUACGGAGGAUUCAAGCGUUAUCCGGAUUUAUUGGGUUUAAAGGGUGCGUAGGCGGUCGGAUAAGUUAGAGGUGAAAUCCCGAGGCUCAACUUCGGAAUUGCAUCUGAUACUGUGCGGCUAGAGAGUAGUUGCGGUAGGCGGAAUGUAAGGUGUAGCGGUGAAAUGCUUAGAGAUCAUACAGAAUACCGAUUGCGAAGGCAGCUUACCAAGCUACUUCUGACGUUGAGGCACGAAAGCGUGGGGAGCAAACAGGAUUAGAUACCCGGGUAGUC
rnacentral:rRNA from 1 species